UGUCUUUCGUAUUUCGCGUGUUUCAACCCCUUGUCUUUCCAUUAUUUUUCUCUAACGUCCGCCUUCGCUUUAAAACUACUACUUCAACUAGCUGUUUUUCUUCCGUUUCCUUUCUACUUUCAUAUUUCAUCCCAUUCAUCUUCCCCCUUCUUCCGUUUCUUUCUUCUCUAAUUCUACCCGUUCCACCGAGCUUCUUUCGCAAAUUUGUCAUCCUCCUGAUCGUGGUCCAGCUCGGGACGUUUCUACCCUCGAUCCGACCUCCAAUUUUUCACUCUAUCGCCUCUUUCUCCAUCUUCCUCCAACCUUUCCCUUAUCUUCGGCCAACGUACGGCCGACGCGAUCCUUUUAUCCUCGUCCACAGGCUGUCCCUUUCUCGUCCCUAUCAGUCAGAGCCUCCCUUUCUCUGCUUCCCUUCUCUGUCCCUGUUUCUCGUCUCUGUCGAUUCAUCGCGAUUUCGUCCGGCGUUCUCGUCUCGUUCCAGGCCGGAUCGAUAGAGCGGAGUCUGCGUCUCCAAUCCGCGCGUAUAUACCCGUGUACUUUAUUAUCAUGCGGUGCACCCGGUAUAUUCCCCGGAUACACGGUACCCCGAUGCGAACCGCGCCCGUUUUUCAGCCGGGAACGACAACCCCUCUGACAGAACAUGUCGGCCAACCUGCCGGAAACCACCGCGUCACCGGAAGGAUACCACCGCGCACUGGGGUUAUUUGCCUGCAACGAAAAUCGAGGAAGGGGACAAUCUCCGCUAGAAGAUGCAACAACAGUUAAAUAGCACAGUGAAUACCGGUAUUAAGUGUACAAAACACUAGAUAAAUACAGGUAUUUCCUUUGCUAAUUCCGGCCAAAGU